rnacentral:lncRNA from 1 species
CUCUCUUUUUUCUUUUUAUUUGGAUGAGGGUUUUUCCUUUAGGCGAGGGUUUUUCCUCUGCUCUUAGCAGGGUUGUGGAGAUGUAGAGGAGCCACUAAGGAGGCUUUUCUCCUCAUCCGAUCCUGAUCGAUCGGGUCUUUGUUUGUGUUAGGACGAGGUUCUCCUCCUAUUUCCGACAUAGCCAAUUUUAGCUCAUGCUAGAACGAGGUCUUCCUCCUAUUCC